rnacentral:sRNA from 1 species
GCACUAUGUCGUCCGAGGCCCAGAGAUGACCCCUUAUGAAGGUAAGGAUUCUGUGCUUAGGAGAAGAACACCAGGCGGUUUUUAUAUUCUCAGUCAGCCUUGCCUGUUCAACAUCUUUUAUUUGCAAACAGCAGCCUUUCUACUUUGGAUGUGCGCUAGUUAAAUUGGCUUAGUUGGAACUCCUCCUCGUCUGCUUCUCCACACGCUGGAAGUGUUUGCUCCGCUGAUGUGUCUCAGCCUGCUGGGCCGCCUGUAGCGUCUGUGUUCACCAGCCUCUGACACCAUAGGGCCAUAGCUGAGAAAACCAGACUGGGGUAAACACUGAAGCUGGCCUGUUCUACUAUUUCUUAAGACCCAGUGCAUAUCAUCAAAGGAAAGGCACAUAUAUUCAGUUAUUCAGUGUGCCUUCUGUGCUGGGUGCCCCCAGGGUUUCGCAAUCCCCAGGACGGUCUCUGAGCUAAGUGCAAGUACCCCUGUGUGGUGGCACCUGGGGCUUCGGGAGGCUGCAGGACCUGUCCAGCACCUCAGCCCUUC